GGUUAUCUCAAGACUUGGAGAUGUCCGACCUAUGUCAAAAGACAGAUGAUGGAUAAAUUAGAAGAUAGAUCUAUUAUAACUCAUUUUAUAGGGUAUCCAAAAGAAUCUAUGGGAUACUACUUCUACUUUCCACAAGACUACAGUGUGAUUGUGAGAGGUUAGUGGAGCUCGAAGAUAAAUUCUCUAAAGAGCCAAGAACUUAUAGUCCAUGAGCCAGUAG
rnacentral:lncRNA from 1 species